GCCGGUGUAGCUCAAUUGGUAGAGCAACUGAUUUGUAAUCAGUAGGUUGCGGGUUCAAGUCCCAUCGCCGGCUCCA
rnacentral:tRNA from 2 species